ACGCGAAGAACUUACCCAGGCUUGACUUGUUUUUGACAGUCUGCGAAAGCAGAUCUUCUCGCAAGAGACAAUUACACAGGUGCUGCAUGGCUGUCGUCAGCUCGUGCUGUGAAGUGUUGGGUUAAGUCCCGCAACGAGCGCAACCUUUGUUCUUAGUUGCCAUCACGUCAUGGUGGGCACUCUAGGAAGACUGCCGGUGAUAAACUGGAGGAAGGAGGAGACGACGUCAAGUCAGUAUGGCCCUUAUGCCUGGGGCUACACACGUGCUACAAUGGCCACUACAAAGGGCAGCGAACUCGCGAGAGAGAGCUAAUCCCAAAAAAAUGGCCUCAGUUCAGAUUGAAGGCUGCAACUCGCCUUCAUGAAGUUGGAAUCGCUAGUAACGGUAGAUCAGCUACGCUACCGUGAAUACGUUCCCGGGUCUUGUACACACCG
rnacentral:rRNA from 1 species